GAUGAACGCUGGCGGCGUGCCUAAUACAUGCAAGUCGAGCGAACGGACGAGAAGCUUGCUUCUCUGAUGUUAGCGGCGGACGGGUGAGUAACACGUGGAUAACCUACCUAUAAGACUGGGAUAACUUCGGGAAACCGGAUCUACUACCGGAUAAUAUUUUGAACCGCAUGGUUCAAAAGUGAAAGACGGUCUUGCUGUCACUUAUAGCUGGAUCCGCGCUGCAUUAGCUAGUUGGUAAGGUAACGGCUUACCAAGGCAACGAUGCAUAGCCGACCUGAGAGGGUGAUCGGCCACACUGGAACUGAGACACGGUCCAGACUCCUACGGGAGGCAGCAGUAGGGAAUCUUCCGCAAUGGGCGAAAGCCUGACGGAGCAACGCCGCGUGAGUGAUGAAGGUCUUCGGAUCGUAAAACUCUGUUAUUAGGGAAGAACAUAUGUGUAAGUAACUGUGCACAUCUUGACGGUACCUAAUCAGAAAGCCACGGCUAACUACGUG
rnacentral:rRNA from 1 species